rnacentral:rRNA from 1 species
UACAGAGGGUGCAAGCGUUGUUCGGAAUUACUGGGCGUAAAGCGUGUGUAGGCGGCUUGGCAAGUCGGAUGUGAAAGCCCUGGGCUCAACCCAGGAAGUGCACUCGAUACUGCCGAGCUUGAGUAUCGGAGAGGUGGGUGGAAUUCUCGGUGUAGAGGUGAAAUUCGUAGAUAUCGGGAGGAACACCGGCGGCGAAGGCGGCCCACUGGACGAAUACUGACGCUGAGGAGCGAAAGCGUGGGGAGCGAACAGG